rnacentral:snRNA from 1 species
GUGUUUGUUUCUGCAGCACAUGUAUUAAAAUUGGAAUGCUACAGAGAAGAUUAGCAUGCCCCCUGCACAGCAAUGACACACAAAUUUGUGAAGCAUUCCAUACCUUU